rnacentral:rRNA from 1 species
CAACCUGCCAUCCAGCGGAGGAUAGCCUUUCGAAAGAAAGGAUAAUACUCCAUGACCUCCUCAGAGGACAUCUGACGAGGAGCAAAGAUUCAUCGCUGGGUGAUGGGGAUGCGUCUGAUUAGGCAGUUGGCGGGGUAACGGCCCACCAAACCGACGAUCAGUAGGGGUUCUGAGAGGAAGGUCCCCCACAUUGGAACUGAGACACGGUCCAAACUCCUACGGGAGGCAGCAGUGAGGAAUAUUGGUCAAUGGACGGAAGUCUGAACCAGCCAAGUAGCGUGCAGGAUGACGGUCCUAUGGGUUGUAAACUGCUUUUAUGCGGGGGUAAAGUGAGUGACGUGUCAUUCAUUGCAAGUACCGCAAGAAUAAGGACCGGCUAAUUCCGUGCCAGCAGCCGCGGUAAUACGGAAGGUCCUGGUGUUAUCCGGAUUUAUUGGGUUUAAAGGGAGCGUAGGCCGUCAGGCAAGCGUGUUGUGAAAUGUCGUGGCUCAACCAUGGACUUGCAGCGCGAACUGCCCGACUUGAGUGCGCAGAAAGCAGGCGGAGUUUGUGGUGUAGCGGUGAAAUGCUUAGAUAUCACGAAGAACUCCGAUUG